rfam:Bacillus cereus Rock3-44 chromosome, whole genome shotgun sequence.
CAGUCCUUUAACACAGCCCCGUGAGGUUGAGAAGGAAGUCGGAAUAUAGAUACGUGUAUAUCCUUUUACAGGAACACGUAUGCUUUUUUGGCCUUCUCACAAUACUAGGUGAGAAGGCCUUUUAUU